rnacentral:lncRNA from 1 species
AGUCCCAUGGGAUGCUGGGGAGGAGUCAACUGGGAAUUCAGGACUCAGCUGAUGAGAUGAUGUGCAAAAACUGUAUGAGGCUGAUGUCCAAGGACCUUUGCCUUUAUACUUCGGGCAGUCAGAAGUGGCCAUGGAGCACGGCAGUACCAUUCUGCAUCAGUGACUUCUCCAUUAUUCAAGGUGAUCUGCUUGAGAGACAAAGGGACUGCUGGGAUGGCAGAACAGGUGAAUCAAAUCAAUUUCCAAGAUCCAUGCAUGUUGCCUUAGUGACGAGCUAAGACACAUCUAAUCCUGGAAAACCUUUGCUUCCCCGUACAUGCAGUAUACAUCUGAUGCCUCCAAAUCUCUUCUGAAAUUCUGUUUUCAAAUGUUAGAACUCCAUAUGGAAAGAAAAAAAAAGUCAGGUAUGUUCUGUGCCUGAAUAAAUCUUUCUUUAGGGCAAAUCA